AAUCCGUGCAUGUUUGUAAAGUGAAGAGUAAAUAAUCCUGCCUGGACAGGUCAGAUUUAUGAUGGACAUGAGGCUCGUUUAACAGAUUUGUGCAGACACUGGUGUAGAUAUGACCUGGUGUAGAUUCGACCUGACUGUGUCUGUUAGGUCUGUCACAUCUAAUGUUAUAACAAUGAGAAAUCUGUUUUACAUGAAUUUUCUUUUCUCAUCUGCAGCCUCCUGUAUGAGGACACGACACACUGCAGGAGCCACAGAACUGUUGGCUGACAAGAUGCUUGUGAUUCAUAAAAUGGGUCAAAUGCAGAUGACAAAGUAAAGCCAACACUGAGCUGGAGGUGCUGACCCAGACUCCUGCCAACAAUUAGGUUUUCACUCUACAGGACAGAACUUUGAAUCAAUCAGACGCAACAACCAUUCUGCUCUUCCUCCUCCAGAAGACGAGAGACACAUCAGACUGAGUGGUCCAAGUCCACUGUCCAUGUCUCCACUGUCCAUGUCUCCAAUGUCCAUGUCUCUAAUGUCCAUGUCCAGAGUCUCAUAUGAUCUGAACAAGUGUGUGAGACAGAAAUGAAAACAUCUGCUCAUAAGUGUUUCUGAAUGUUUUUCAGUCUGUACUGACAUUUGAUUUAUGGUGAAAUGUGCCAUUUAUUUGGUGUCUCUUUUGAUAGUAACUAAUUACAUGUACUAUAAGAAUGUACUAUUGUACUGCAGAUAAGCUGUGGUAUUCCACAUGAUCAUAUCUGGCAAAGAUAAUUUGUUCAUUUUUGAUUGUCACUUGCUUCAGCAAAAAGGGAACACAAUGAGAUUUACUGACAUACAGCUGUUUGUACUAACUUGUUAAUGCAGAGU